CAGUGUUCUUUAGUGUAUGCAGGAUAAAAUUUUUGGUACUAGGAGCACAAGAUCAUCAGGAGGCAGAUAAGGAAGAAGAAUUGGUUCACCAACACCCUGAUGUGAAAAGUGACGAACCCUAAUCUGGCACAUCAAUGAAAUUCAAAAUUAGGUUAUGGGUUGUCAAGACUAUUAAAGCAAGCACAGCUCUUGAGAUUGAGGAUCCUUAGAGUUGGUGACAAGAAAAUUGUUGGUGUCAUGAAGGAAGGAAGAAUGCCAACGUUAAAAAUCAACACCUACUGAUGGGUGUUUAGGCUUUACCGGGUCAAGCUAAUGACGUUAAAGAAGCGCUUGCUGGGAGGCAACCCAUUUUCUAACCUAGUUUCUGAAUUUUUUUUUAUCUCGUAUUGAUUUUAUUUUAUUUUUUAUUUAUUUGAUUUUAUUUUUUAUUUAUUUAUUUUUUUUAGGGUUUUGCGCUGCUUCUGAUGGCAGUAAUAAUAGCAUCUACUGAUGGAUGCUAUAUGGUUAGACAUUUAUUGAUAGAUGUCACUAACGGCGUUUACUGAUGAAUGCUACUGGAUAACAUCUACUGAGGGAUGCUAGGAGAUUUAGGUAUCUACUGAAGGAUACAGGAAGGUGCACCUACUGAUGGGUGACGAUAAGUUUUGCAGCUACUGAUGGGUGCUAAAAAGGUUUGGGUCAGGCUCGUGACGUUAAACAAGCGCUACCUGGGAGGCAACCCAGUUUUCUAAACUUAUCUUUUUAGAUUAUGUUAUAUUUGUUUCUCUUUUUAGAAUAGGUAUUGAUGUACUUGGUUGGACACUAUAUUUGAUGCAGUGGUUUGAUAUUAAUGUUGCAUGAUGGGUAUUGCUUGAUGAUGCUUUGAUAUUGAUGAAGUUGAGAUUGCACAAUAUGCUGAUAUACAGGUGGUGGUUCACAAGUUGUGUGAANAGAUGCAUUGUGAUUUUGUGAUUGUGAUUAUGAGNCUAAGCAGGGUAUUUGAUUGAAUGAUUGGAAUAAGCUUAUGAGUGAGGUUUGAGCUCCAGAGUUCUUAUUGAUAUAUUUUCUAUCUAUUGGAAGCAUGAAUGAUUUUGCCUAAGUUUCUAUGAUUGAUUGAAUUAUGUGUAUGUGUCACAUGAUCAAGGCCACUUUUGAUAAGCCCUUUUCUAAGCCAAAAAAAUUUUCGUCCCACAUGAAAAAGAACAUCUUAAGUUCUACCCUUUUUGAACCUAAGCCUUAAACAGGAUGAAAACCCUUGCUAUGAAAAUCUUUGCCUUGAGUUAGGUUGAGAAAUAUUUUUGGGAUAUUGUUAAAGGUUCAAGUUUGGGGUUGUUGGGAGAAUUGAAAAAGAAAAAGAAAAGUUAGGCAUUGGGCUUAUGAGUUGAAAAGAAAAUGCAUGAGAAAAGAUGAAAAAGAUAGAAAAAGAAAAAAGCAUGAAUAGAAAAGCUCAAUGUGAAGAAAAGGGAAAGUUGGGAAUGAGUGAGAUUGGUAAAGAGAGAGUUUGUGCUUGAACUAUGAAUGUAUAAUAGCUCUCUUAACUCAAGGGUUUUGUGAUCUAGAAAAACCAAUUUUCCUUGUUAGCCCAACCACAUUAUAAGCCUUGAAAAGUCCUUGUGAUGACAUGUGUAUGUGAUGAUGUUUGAUUGUGGCAAAUGAAAGGCAAUU
rnacentral:lncRNA from 1 species